rnacentral:sRNA from 1 species
UGUAUAGCUUAUAAAGAUGGCAAUGGC